GUACUUGUAGCUCAGUGGUAGAGCGGUCCACUUUCGACGGACAGGUCGCCGGAUCAACCCCGGUCGGGUACC